CGGCGGCGGAGCAGGCUCGACCCGGGCUCGCACUUCCGCUGGCGUCAGGCGGGUGGGCUGCUGCGAUCACUUCCCGGUUGGGGCGCCGAGCUCCGGAGUCGGCCGCCAGCCUUUGGGCCCCACGCUCCGGGUCUGGUGCGCGGUCUGGCCGCGCUCGGGCCCUCGCCAAAUGAGAGCGCAGCGCCUCUCCGCCUUCGGAUCCAGAGAAAGAGCUUGUUGCUGCCUCUAAAAGGUUGGAGCCUUAGUAAGCGGUUCCUGCCUUUCCUGCACAGACCAGACCGCCGGGUGCUGGUCUGCGCUCUGCCGCGCGCCGACUGGGACAGCCCACCCACGAGAUCCUUGUUCCUGAAAUCCCUUUCCUUCCCUCAUCUGCCAAGAAAACUUUCAACUUUUGGGCUCUCCGCGCCUCCCAAGCUUCCUCGAAUCCCUGGGCCCUUGACUGUUCUGCCCUGAUGGCACUUGGUGAGAGAUCCAUUGAGAGCCCUUUCCGUGCCUUCCUGAAUAUUGAUAUGUUUUCCAGCCUCUCCUCCUGCGCUGGCCCAAGGACUCAUUUUCCGUCCCUGCUUCCUCACUAAAAAGAGGGUGCCCAAUAAUUGCUUGUUCCAUACAGAAGGCAGGGAGGCCGUCUCUAGGUUUUCUCCCACUCAGAUCUGCUGUCCUCACAGCCACCUCCCCAAGAGGAAUGAAGGUAUUUCUUUUUUUUUUUUCUUUUUUUUCUCUGAGACGGAGCUUCACUCUGUCGCCCAGGCUGGAGUGCAGUGACGCGAUCUCGGCUCACUGCAACCUCUGCCUCCCGAGUAGCUGGGAUUACAGGCGCCUGCCACCACGCCCGGCUAAUUUUUUGUAUUUUUAGUAGAGACGGGGUUUCACCAUCUUGGCCAGGCUGGUCUCGAACUCCUGACCUCAGGUGAUCCGCCCGCCUCGGCCUCCCAAAGUGCUGGGAUUACAGGCGUGAGCCACCGCGCCCUGCCGGAAUGAAGAUAUUUCUGUUAGUGCGAUUUUUGCGCCAAUCCCUUUGCUCUUUCAAAUAAGCAUUACCGUACCCAUUUUAGCGGUGAGGCAACUGAAGCCCAGAGAGGUUAAAUAACUUGCCCAAAGCCUCACAGCAAAGUUGAGGAAGUAAAACUGGGCCUGGAAUCCACUCGUCUGAUCCCCUGGCACAUGACGCAAGGCUUGACCUUAGAGGGACUCGUUUCCAGACAGAGCUCUGGCAAAGGAGUGUCUUGGGCAGCUUAGGAGUAGAAGAGGAAAGGUGAAUGGAAACCAGGCCUUGGGUUAUGAGCUGCGCAGGAUUUUCCAGCAUCUCAGAUGCAGGCGUUUAGAGAAAGAGAUAUAAUGGAGCAGGCCCUACUCAGAGCCACGAAAAGGAAUGAGGACAGUUGGCUCUAACUCAAAACAAAAAUAGGGUAAACCCAAUCAGUCAAGCGCAGCAACCUGCUCCGUGGCGAUCUGUGACUCAUCAGAAGCUGAGGCUCUCACCAGGACUUUCUAAUGAGCUUCGCUGUUGGCUACGACCGCGGUCACUUCACUUCAGCCCUACUCCUGGCCUGGGGAAAUGGGCAGGCCCCCUAGUAGCUCGGGGUGGGGAGACGGGUGGAGAGGAAGGAGGGGCGAAAAGGGAAGGCGCGAAAUCUACAAAUGUUUAAGCCAGCUGGAACUCCGAUGCCUCUUUGCCUUUUAGGGAAAUUGACUCGACUCGGAACUCGAGGACCUUUCACAAGAGACCACUGGGUUAGGGGGCAGAGCUGGUAAUAGAAUCCAGCGCUCCGAACCCUGAAUCAUGUCCUCUUUUUGCUGCUGAGGCUCAGGCCACAGCACCCCAAAUUAUGACUGUAGAAUACCAAAAUAUGCUAUCCCAAAAUACACUUGUUUGGCACAUUUCAAGCUGGUUAUUCUGAGAAACUGCAGACACGGGAGUAGCUCUGAAAAGCUGUCCUUUUGUAAAGCAAAUUUACAUCUAUAAAGGAAGUCCACAUAGUAAAAGUAUCUGUGUCAGGAAGGCAGCUGCUCAGAGAACUUUUAUUACAUGAGAGACUUUACAUAACAAGGCAACUUUUUUUUUUUUUUUUUUUUUUUUUUUUGAGGCAGAGUCUCGCUCAGUCGCCCAGGCUGGAGUGCAUUGGCAUGAUCCCGGCUCACUGCAACCUCCGCCCCCCGGGUUCAAGCGAUUCUCCGGCCUCAGCCUCUGAAGUAGCCGGGAUUACAGGCGCGCGCCACCGCGCCCGGGUAAUUUUUGUAUUUUUAGUAGAGACGGGGUUUCACCAUGUUGGUCAGGCUGGUCUCGAACUCCUGACCUCGUGAUCCGCCCACCUCGGCCUCCCAAAGUGCUGGGAUUACAGGUGUGAGCCACCGCGCGCAGCCACAAGGCAACAUUAUUUACCAUACAUUUCCUCCACUAACCCUCCUAUAUCCUACCUGUGGUGCCUCCCCACUGUCCCCACAGAAGCCCCAAGCCCUUAUUUAUUUCUAGCUCAGAAUGCUAUAAGCUUCAAUCAUCUGGCCCUUCAUGUUUUGUGAGAUUCCUGUGCUGCUGCGUAUGCAGGUAAUUAAAACGGUUUUUCUUCUGUUAAUCUGUCUUAUGUCGGCCAGGCGUGGUGGCUCAUGCCUGUAAUCCCAGCACUUUGGGAGGCCGAGGUGGGCGGAUCACGAGGUCAGGAGUUUGAGACCAGCCUGACCAACAUGGUGCAACCCCAUCUCUACUAAAAAUACAAAAGAAGUAGCCGGGCGAGGUGGUGCGCACCUGUAAUCCCAGUUACUCAGAAGCUGAGGCAGGAGAAUCGCUUGAACCCAGGAGGCGGAAGUUGCAGUUAGCCGAGAUUGUGCCACAGCACUCCAGCCUGGGCGACAGAGCAAGAUACCGUCUCAAAAAAAAAAAAAAAAAUCUCUGUUAUGUCAAUUUAAUUUGCAAUCCAAGUAAAGAACCUAGAAGGGUAGAGGGAAGCCAUUUUUCCCUCCCCUACAUUGCUAGUUCCAUGCCAAUGUGAGAGGACUCUGAGAAUGUGGAUGUCUGCCACCUGGAGAAAGAGUCUUAAUAACCUGGGCACUUGGCCAGGCACGGUGGCUCACACCUGUCAUCCCAGCAUUUUCAGAGGCAAAGGUGGGUGGAUCACCUGUGGUUAGGAGUUCAAGACCAGCCUGGCCAACAUGGCGAAACCCUGUCUCUACUAAAAAUACAAAAAUUAGCCAGGCAGGGUGGUGGGCACCUGUAAUUUCAGCUACUCAGGAGGCUGAGGCAGGAGAAUCACUUGAACCCAGGAGGCGGAGGUUGCAGUUAGCCUAGAUGGUGCCAUUGCACCCCAGCCUGGGCAACAAGAGCAAAAUUCUAUCUCAAUAGAUAAAUAAAUAAAUAACCUGGGGACUUGUAGCCUCUAUUGAAAGGUACCAGAAAAGGAUAAAGCCUGAGUUUUCAAGCCAGGAAGUUGCAAAUUCUAACUCUACCAAGAAGUAGCUGGGUGACCUCCAAGCCUCAGUUUCCUCAUCUUCAAAACCAGGUUAAUAGUGUCAGAGGCAUUUGAACCAGAGAGACUCCAUCUUGAAUAGGGACUGGGUAAAAUAAGGCUGUGACCUGCUGGGCUGUAUUCCCAGGAAGUUAAGGCAUUCUUCGAGGAUGAGAUGGUGGGGGUCAGCACAAGAUACAGGUCACAAAGACCUUGCUGGUAAAAUAGGAUGUAGUAAAGGAGCCGGCCAAAACCCAUCAAAAUCAAGAUGGCGACCAAAGUGAGCUCUGGUCGUGCCCACUGCUCAUUAUACACUAAUUAUAAUUCAUUAGCAUGCUAAAAGACACUCCCACCAGCACCAGGACAGUUUACAAACAUCAGGAAGUUACCCUAUAUGGUCUAAAGGAGGAGGAACCCUCAGUUCUGGGAAUUGCCCAUCCCUUUCGCGGAAAACUCAUGAAUAAUCCACCCCUUGUUUAGCAUAUAAUCAAGAAAUAACUAUAAUUAGUUGAGCAGCCCAUGCUGCAGCUCUGCCUAUGGAGUAGCCAUUCUUUACCUCCUUUACUUCUCUAAUAAAUUUGAUUUCACUUUAUGGACUUGCCCCAAAUUCUUUCUUGCGUGAGGUUCAAGAACCCUCUCUUGUGGACUGGAUGAGGACCCCACUCUGGUAACAAUAUACUUUUUGUCCAGUCACAUUUCUACAUGGCUGUCCAUACUCUGUUGAAUGUAAGCAUAAGAAUGGACAAUUUUGCUGUAUCUUUGGAUCUUCAUUCUGAAGGCUCCCAUGGCAUGUAAAACUAUGAUCAAAUAAAUUUGUAUGCCUUUUUUCCUUUUAAUCUGCCUUGUCGGUUGAUUUUCAGUGAAACUUCAGAGGGUAAAGGGGAAGUUUGCCCUUCACCCCUACAUGGUCAAGCUCAAGAUACCAAAAGACAUCAGCUGAAAAUUCAAUCAACUUGCCUGAAUCAUCCACCCCAAGCUUAGGAAGCAUGCUUGAACCCACCUGGCCAAGGCUGGUUUUGCCGGCCAAAGUCCAAGGCCAAGGCUCCAACCAAAGCCCAGACUUCAGUUGCAGCUCCAGUUCCAGUUCCAGUUCCAGCUCCAGUUCCAGUUCCAGUUCCAGCUCCAGAUCAAAUUUCCAAGGGUGCCCAUGCACACCCACAAAGGAUCUGGAGGAGAGGCCUCUGUCUACCAAUGGGAGGACAGAAGGACUGGUGUGAGCCCUGGGCUGCCAUCUGUUUCUGCAUGGAGCUGGGAGAAAACACUCAAUGAAGAA
rnacentral:lncRNA from 10 species